GAUGAACGCUAGCGACAGGCUUAACACAUGCAAGUCGAGGGGCAGCAAUUUGUAGCAAUACAAAGUUGGCGACCGGCGCACGGGUGAGUAACGCGUAUGCAACCUACCUACAACAGAAGAAUAAUCCGGCGAAAGUCGGUCUAAUACUUCAUAAAACAGGGGCACCGCAUGGUGUUAUUUGUUAAAGAUUUAUCGGUUGUAGAUGGGCAUGCGUACCAUUAGGUAGUUGGUGAGGUAAUGGCCCACCAAGCCUACGAUGGUUAGGGGUUCUGAGAGGAAAGUCCCCCACACUGGUACUGAGACACGGACCAGACUCCUACGGGAGGCAGCAGUGAGGAAUAUUGGUCAAUGGGCGAGAGCCUGAACCAGCCAAGUCGCGUGAAGGAUGACGGCCCUAUGGGUUGUAAACUUCUUUUGCAGGGGAAUAAAGAUAUUCACGUGUGGGCAGU
rnacentral:rRNA from 2 species